rnacentral:rRNA from 1 species
CCUACGGGUGGCUGCAGUGGGGAAUAUUGGACAAUGGGGGCAACCCUGAUCCAGCCAUGCCGCGUGUGUGAAGAAGGCCCUCGGGUUGUAAAGCACUUUCAGUGAGGAAGAACGCCUGGUGGUUAAUACCCAUCAGGAAAGACAUCACUCACAGAAGAAGCACCGGCUAACUCCGUGCCAGCAGCCGCGGUAAUACGGAGGGUGCGAGCGUUAAUCGGAAUUACUGGGCGUAAAGCGCGCGUAGGUGGCUUGAUAAGCCGGUUGUGAAAGCCCCGGGCUCAACCUGGGAACGGCAUCCGGAACUGUCAAGCUAGAGUGCAGGAGAGGAAGGUAGAAUUGCCGGUGUAGCGGUGAAAUGCGUAGAGAUCGGGUGGAAUACCAGUGGCGAAGGCGGCCUUCUGGACUGACACUGACACUGAGGUGCGAAAGCGUGGGUAGCAAACAGGAUUAGAUACCCGGGUAGUC